rnacentral:rRNA from 1 species
AAAGUAAAGGCAUCUUUACUUUUUUAAAAGACCUUCUUUGAAGGUAUGCUUAAGGAGGGGCUUGCGACACAUUAGUUAGUUGGCAGGGUAAAGGCCUACCAAGACUAUGAUGUGUAGCUGGACUGAGAGGUUGAACAGCCACAUUGGGACUGAGACACGGCCCAAACUCCUACGGGAGGCAGCAGUAGGGAAUUUUCGGCAAUGGAGGAAACUCUGACCGAGCAACGCCGCGUGAACGAUGAAGUACCUCGGUAUGUAAAGUUCUUUUAUUAAGGAAGAAAAAAGAGUGGAAAAACUCCCUUGACGGUACUUAAUGAAUAAGCCCCGGCUAAUUAUGUGCCAGCAGCCGCGGUAAUACAUAAGGGGCGAGCGUUAUCCGGAAUUAUUGGGCGUAAAGGGUGCGUAGGCGGUUUAAUAAGUCUAUAGUUUAAUUUCAGUGCUUAACGCUGUUGUGCUAUAGAAACUGUUUUACUAGAGUGAGUUAGAGGCAAGCGGAAUUCCAUGUGUAGCGGUAAAAUGCGUAAAUAUAUGGAGGAACACCAGAGGCGUAGGCGGCUUGCUGGGACUUUACUGACGCUGAGGCACGAAAGCGUGGGGAGCAAACAGGAUUAGAUACCCUGGUAGUCCACGCCGUAAACGAUGAGUACUAAGUGUCGGGUAAAACCGGUACUGAAGUUAACACAUUUAAGUACUCCGCCUGAGUAGUACGUACGCAAGUAUGAAACUUAAGGAAUGACGGGACUCCGCACAAGCGGGGAUCCUGUUGUUUAAUUCGAAGAUACACGAAAAACCUUACCAGGUCUAGACAUUUUCUUGCGAAGUUAUAGAAAUAUAAUGGAGGUUAUCAGGAAAACAGGUGGUGCAUGGUUGUCGUCAGCUCGUGUCGUGAGAUGUUAGGUUAAGUUCUAAAACGAGCGCAACCCUUGUCGUUAAUUGCCAGCAUGUAAUGAUGGGGACUUUAACGAGACUGCCAAUGAAAAAUUGGAGGAAGGUGGGGAUUACGUCAAAUCAUCAUGCCCCUUAUGAUCUGGGCUACAAACGUGAUACAAUGGUUGAUACAAAGAGUAGCUGAAACGCGAGUUCUUAGCCAAUCUCACAAAAUCAAUCUCAGUUCGGAUUGAAGUCUGCAACUCGACUUCAUGAAGUUGGAAUCGCUAGUAAUCGCGAAUCAGCAUGUCGCGGUGAAUACGUUCGCGGGGUUUGUACACACCGCCCGUCAAA